ensembl:lncRNA
AGAGCCGGGAGCCCCCAGCCUGGGGGCAGUGGAGAGAGCGACACCUGACAGACACCUGAAAGACAGGACAGGAGGAGAGAGGAAGGAGAAAGUUUCUAAAGGCUGGGCAAAGAAAGAGCCUGGAAGCAGAGAUUGGAAAUCUGUGUGACUCAGGGGUGACUGUGACCACGAAGCUGUGCAGCUGUGGGAUCGCAUGUGGCACUCGUUGGAGUGUGUGGGACUGGGUCGGGUAGGGCGAGGGCCCUCUGCUUCCGGUCCCCAGCUCCCCCUCCAGCCUCGGUUCCGCCCUGGCCCCGCCCCCUCCCACCACCCCAGGCUGCCAGCGCCUGUCACCUCUUCCAGAGCACAGGCGAGGACCCGGAGGCAGCGGCAGAGGGAGCGAGUGACCAGGAGAAGGACUGGGAACAGGUCCCCCGGGGUCUGUAGGUCUAGACUCUGAGUGACACUGACGCUUCUGCCCAGCGCAGUUCUAGGGCAACAGCCCCCUCGGCAAACACCCUCCCUUCCACCGCCGCUGCC